UUACUCAGUGAGAUAUGAUGGUGAAGUGUAUCCUGCCUCCAGUUUGAUCUCUGAAAAAACUCCUCCUUUGUUUAGAAGAGUGAGAAUUGAAGAAUACUUUAGGAGCCGGUAUGCUCGUGAGCUUAGGGGAAAAUCUCAGUUGGAUUCCCUGAGAAUUCAACAUGGUCAAGGCUAGUAUAAGUUUAUUUUGGAUAACUAAAGAGUUUGGUACAAAAACUCUUAAGGACCUUGCUAUUAAGAUUGGCGUGGAACUGAAAAUAAGAAAUAAGUUCUAUGAAUACUGUGGUAUAACCUGCUAUGCUAGGGUCGUUGUGUAGCUCUAUCAUUUGAGAUACUGAAUAGACCAUGUAAGAAUCUUAAGAAUUGCAGACUUAUGCCUGGAAUCUUCCGAUGAUAUAUGGUGGUGCUUAUAUCAGAUCAGUAUCUUUCUUUCUUGAAAUAGAAUUUUUGCAUACCUGACUUGUUUUUAAUGAGAUUUCAAGGACUAUAUGACUUGGUUUCAAAUUUUUAUGAUACAUACAGAUAAUAUUACCACAGAACCAGUGUAGUUUCUGUAUCAGCCGUUAUAGUUUUCAGUUAAUAGUAACAAGUUUUUGAUUUUUAACAAGAAUGUUGUCCUUCCACGUCUUAAAUAUUCCGUUCCAUAACACACAUUGUGACGAAUACAUAACUUGUUACCAUUGACGAAAAAUUUUGCCAUCAAUAGCUGAAAAUAGAUGUUAGUUACACAAGCUGCAAAGCUAUAACUUUGGAUUUCAUAUUCAGAUUGUCCCUCUCAAAGUUGAACUUGGAACUACGGUUGAUGAUCUGCUAUUAUGCUGAGAAAAAUACAAGAUUUUUUUUUUGGUUGUCAUCAGACAAUGUAAAAGAAAUUAGCAUGGGAUCCAAAUUCUUGAGAGUUUGAUAAGGCAAUGCACUAUAUUUUUUUAUAACUCGCAGCAGACAGCAGCACAACAGCAGACUGCAACUGUCAUAUUCACAAAAUAUCUAUGGGCCAACCCUAGACCCGCAAUGGUGGAUUAGUCUCACACAAGGCCACAGCAAAUAAUGACUUGUAGAAAAUAAUACAUUUUCAACAUUUGCUUUGUCAAUAAAAAUCUGUAGCAUUAUUGUUGAGAGAAUUUGUGCAACAAAAAGAAGGCCAAGUUCGGAGGUUCUCUGCCUGUGCCUUGUGUUCAAGAGUUGGCCAAGAAUCCUAUGUUAGCUAUCCCCCCAGGUACAUACCACCACGCUAAGAUUUAACCACAAUUUCUGAUAAUAAUUUGGAUUCACGGGUAUUGCAGAGCUUGUUUUCUGAAGAGUCAAUGGAUUCUGAGUUGUCCAGGCUCCACUUCGCUAGCAAAGAAUGGGCUUCUUUCCAGGUAAAGUCCUUUGCCAAGUUAUUAUUAUUUUGCUUUUAAAGGAUUUGCUUGGGAUGAGACCUCAUCUACUAAAUACCACCCUUUGUCCCAUAUUGUUACUCGAGCGCAGAUAUCUGCAAAUUGCGAAUUACAUUCACAACCAGCUAAGCUACACCUGCCGUGAGGCACCCAAGUUUGUACUUUUUCAUUUGGACAUGCUUGGUUUGUUAAUAGUAGUCUGGGGUCAAGAAUUAAGAAAUCUGUAUACUCUCAAUCAAAGAGCACAGUCGAUCAAAUUCAGAUUAGAUUAUGUUCCAUUCUUAUAGGUCAAGUAGGCCACAAAUUUGGCCUACUCUGUAUCAAUGCUUUCUUACACUGUAAGUUAGCAAUAAGAAAGCUGUAACAAAAUUUGAGUCUACGUAGUCUUAACCAAGCCGGUUUAAGCACUCUUUUUUUUAAAAAAAAAAACAUUGAGGGAUGUAACUGACCUUGUCCGAUUAUGGACCCAUCUAACUUGCUUUCUUGUAUGGCUGAGAAGAAAAACCUGCAUUCUUGAAAAUUAAAUUGUCUUUAAUAUCUUUCAGAUGUCUAGGCUUGCGGUAGCUUGAGAAGAACUAUAAGCAAAUUUAUGAUGGAGUAUAAUGCAAAUGCGAUUCUAUUAGUUUAUUGAAAUCUAACAAAUACUUUUAUUCAUCGCACUCAGUAAAUUUUGCCUGAAUUAGUCCAAUAAGUUGUACUCUGUCUCAGCAAAAUACCUUGACCAAAAUAAAAAACGUAGUGACACGAUUGUUAAUGUCUUAGCUGUUUUUCUGUUUCUGAAUUGUUUCAGCUGGUAAAUCAUGGAGUGAGCCCUGCAUUUCUAGAGAACGUAAAGAAAGAGAUUCCGGAAUUCUUCAAUCUAAGCAUGAAAAAAAAAAAAUUGGCGGUCUCCAGGAGCUGUGGAAGGAUUUGGACAAGCAUUUGUUGUAUCCGAGGAACAAAAGCUUGAUUGGAAUAACAUUUUCUUCAUGACAACUCUUCCAGUUCAUCUGAGGAAACCCCACUUGUUUCCUAAGCUCCCUCUUUUCCCCCUCAAGUUUCUCUCUCUCUAGGCAGUUAUUUGAUGAUUGCAAAUGUAUUAUGUUCAGAGAAAGAUCCCAAGUCAGUUAUAUUUAGCAAAAUUUGACAACCAAACAUGAUUUUGAAAGAAUACUGCUAAAUAAUAACUUAUUUAACAAUCCACCACAAUCAUGUACUAAACCUUCUAAUUGCGUCUUCUUUUUUCUUGUAGGAAAUUUUGGAAUUUAUUCAGUGGAGUUAAAAAUCUUUGGCCAUGAACCUGGUAUCGAAAAUGGGAAAAGUUUUAAAUAUCAAAGACGAAGAAUUGAGAGAAUACUUUGAAAAUGGUUUCCAAUCAAUGGGGAUGAACUAUUACCCUCCAUGUCCUUAGCCGGAGAAGGUUGUGGGCCUCACAACUCAUUGUGAUGACUCUGCUCUUACCAUUCUGCUGGAAAUCAAUGAAGUAGAAGGCCUCCAGAUCAAGAAGGAUGGAAAGUGGAUUCCUGUUACACCUUUCCCAAAUGCUUUCGUUGUCAACAUUGGAUAUGUGUUGGAGGUAAUUAUUAUGAUAAGUUAUUUUAACUUGACAUUCAUAUGAGCUAGCUAAUGUGUGCUUUCAUUAAUUCAUGUUGCUCCACUUCCUAAUGCUUUCAUUGGAGACACAUUGGAGGUAAUAAUUAUAGUAAAUUACUUAACUUGGCAUUUAUAUGCGCAUGCUCAUGUGCUUUAAUAAUUUUUACAUGGCAGAUUAUAACCAAUGGGACAUACCGUAGCAUUGAGCAUCAUGUAAUUGUAAACUCUGUACAAGGAAGACUUUCCAUUGGCACAGUUUACUCAGUGAGGUAUGAUGGUGAAAUGUACCCUGCGUCCAAUUUGGUCUCUGAAAAUACUCCUUCAUUGUUUAAAAGAGUGAAAGUUGAAGAAUAAUUUCAGGAAUCUGUGUGCUCGUAAGCUUAGGGGAAAAUCUCAUCUGGAUGCCUUGAGAAUUGAACAUGUUCAAGAUUAUUAUAAGUUUAUUUUGGAUAACUAAAGAGUGUAGUACAAAAACCGUGGGGGACCUUGCUAUUACAAUUGUGUGUGGAACUAAAAAUAAGAAAUAAGUGUAAGAACAAUAAAUCCUUUGGUGAAAAUCAUCACCUCAAUUUAGGAACAUGUAUGUUGUAUCACCAAAAAUUAAUAAUAGAAUAUGCGGCAGUGUACCUAAGUUCAUAAUGCACAAUUGCUCUUUAGAGCCGAGUAGUUUGUCUUCCAAAUAAACAUGUUCUCCUAAAGAAUUCUUUAAACUUCUCUAUACUGUCUCUUUAAUGAUGAGAUGUCAAUAGAGAAUAGAACAAUACGUGUGACCUAUGGAUAAUAACUACUUAUAUAUAUAGAUUUUCCUUUUGUUUUUAGGUAUUCUUAUUUCAACCCAUUAUAAAAAUCAAAAUUAGUCUUAAGUCUCUAUACAUUAAAGGCCCACAAUCUAUUAGAUACAUUAAAACCCAAAUUACCGAAAACCUUAAUAGACCAAUUUUAAUUUGGCUUAGAGUUAGACUAUUGGCACCCCUCCAAAAUUCUUCUAAAACCCCUUUUUCAAUAAUGCUAAGCUUAAUGCCAAAAAUACCCUUAUUUCUAAAUAAACACAUUUAAUUUGUGAAUCUUUUAAUUUUUAUUAUUUUCUCGCUCCUCACAAACAAAAUUUUAUGGGUGAUAAGUUUCUUGAUAAAAAUCAAUUAAUAAAAUAAAAUAUCUGUAAGAUUAUAAUGUAAAAAGUUUUAUUAUGAGCCUUAAAAAAAGGUAGAUAAUUUUUUCAAAAUGUGUUUUGUUUAUUAUCAAUAGAUUGUCUUAGUAAUUGAAGAAAAAUUUACAGAGAAUUUGAGAAAAAAAUUACAUGUGUGAGUUUGAUGGCAGAGAAAAUACAAGAGCUUUUUUUUUAAGAGAGAAAAUACAAAAGUUUGAAGUGAGAUAAAAUAGAUGUGAGAUAUAUUAGAGUAUUUGUCCUUAAAUGUAAUUGUAAUAGAAGAGGAAGUUUAAAAGGAUUUUGAAGGGGUGUCAAUAGUCCAACUCUUUGGCUUAAUCUUAUAUGACAAUUCACAUCAUAUAAUUAUUCACAUAUAAGCGCAACAUUGGAUCAAGGAUCCAACCAUACCAGAUUAAAGAUCCAACAACCUUUCACUUGGACUAUAUAUAUAACUUUGUAAUUAUACUUUACAAAAAUAACUAUAUGAGGUCAACUUUACUGUCAUUACCAAAAUGCAUCUAUAGCCAAUUCGGUCCAUCUAUCAUACCAACAUAGGAUCAAAAUGACCUUUAUUACAAAUAUCGUAACUUGACCCAUCAAUGCUCACUAUGCCAGCAUAACUUAAUGACAUAGAUCAUGAUAUGGUGUAGGAUGGAAAUUUUAUGUAAUGUGAUUUCAACAUGCCUAUUUUCAAUUGAUCCACCUUAAACAUUAGUGAGAUCAAAUUAUACAAAAUUAGAGUGUAAAUAAACCAAAAUUUUAUUUCUGUAGAAAAUAGCCUUAAAUAUCCCCAAACCGAAAAAUGUUUAUAUCAUAAAAGCAUUUAAAAGUUACAAACUCCCAUUAAAAAUGAAUAUCAAUAUCCUUUAAUGACAUGACACCCAUAUGAACAAUGUGCUCAUGAAACAUUUUAAAUGACAUUCCCUUAGUAAACGGAUCUGUAAUCAUGGAGUUUGUACCAUUAUACUUUAUAGACAAUUGUCCACUCUGAAUUCCUUAGGAACUUGAUGUCUAUAUACUGUGACAUCGUUGAGCUCUUAUUGUUAUUGGAAUAUAGCACUGCUGACUUAUUGUCACCAAAUAACUUAAGUGGUCUAUCAUAAGGGUGUCAAAAAAGCCUGCCCGGACCGGACCCGGCCCCCGGACCGCAUGCACAUAAAAACCGGACCCAGGUUUGAAAUUCUCAAACCCGGACAUUUCCGGGCCCGGGUCCGGGUUCAACACCAAAAACCCGGAACCCGGACCGGACCCGGUUUUUUAAUAAAUUUUUUUAAAAAAUAUAUAAAUAUAUAAUUAUGAAUUUAUGAUAUGUUGGAUGUUAUUUAAAUUUAUUGUGUGAUUAUUGUGUUGUUGAAUUUAAUUUAUUUAUUUUAUAUAUAGAUUGAAUGAGUUUAAGUUAGAAAUUGGAUGAAUUUAGGUAUUAGAAAGUGGAUUGAAAUAAUUUUAAUUUAUCAUUUGUGCAAAAUUUGCAUUGUUAGUGUGUUAUAUAUUUGUAUUUGACUAUUUGCUUUUUUAAAGUUUGAGAUUGAAUGAGUUUAUUUGAUUAUUUUCUUUUUUUAAAUUUGCAUUGUUAGAGAAAUGAAAGAAAAAAUUGAAGAAAAAAAUUGAAGUUAUCACAUGCGGGUUUAGAAAGCCCGGAUCAAAACCCGGACCCGGAAGGUGCCGGGCUCAACCCCGGACCGCACCCGAAAAAAUUGGGUUUUAACCCGGGUUCGGUCUUGUAUUUCUCUCAUCCAGUCCCGGGCAACACCAAAACCCGGACCGGACCCAAAUUUUGUCAAGCCUAGUCUAUCAAUACUAUUUAAAAUGAGUAAUUCUAUGACGAAAUUUUGUAGCCAUAUUCCUUGAUUGGAUAUUUCGUAACAUGCUGUGAACUCCGCUGCUAUAGUAGAAAAGGCUAUAAGAGACUGUUUAGCACUCUUUCAGGAAACAACACCCCUAGCCAGUAGCUAGAUGUAACCAAAAGUAGAUUUCAUAUUAUCUUGGGAUCUAACAAAAUCAGAGUUAGCAUAAUGAUCUCAAGCUGAUCUAACUUUCGAUGUAGUCUUUUGUUCUCUGUAAGUAUCGCAAGACCCGUUUGGCUGUUUCCCAAUAGUUUACCCCUGGAUUACUUAAAUAUCUAUCCAACAUUCCAGUAAUGUAUGCAAUAUUCAGUUGCGUACAAACCUAAACAUACAUCAGACUUUCUAUUACUGAUGUAUAAGGAAUCUUCUACAUUUUUUAUUCCUUAAAAUCAUCAUUAGGGCACUAAUUGUGUAACAUCCAUUAUUUUUGUUUUAUUUAUUUAUUUUUUAUUAUUUUACUACUACUACUACUACUACUACUACUACUACUACUACUACUACUACUAUUAUUAUUAUUAUUAUAUCUAUUUUAGAGAAUAUAGUAUUUUAGGCUAAUGAUUUUAAGCGUGUUUUAAUUUUUCUUUAUUUAUUUGAUUUACCAAUUUAGUAAAUACCUUAUUAAAAAAGGAAAUAAAUUCCUAAAUAGGUAAGGGUGUUAAAAGGCUUGGCUUUAUAAAAGCUUCUCUUGCGUUGUUUUAUUUCUCAAAAUCCUAGAGGCUGAAUACAACAACACACACAAGAGUAAACCUUUUUUUUUUAAGAAGAGAAGUAGAUUUUGAUUGGUUUUUUUCUUUUCCAUAAAGAAAUUCUUGAGUUUUGAAUUUGUUUUGAAGGAUUUAGCCUUCUGGUUUUAUUUGUGAUUUUAUGUGAUUGAUUGAAUGAUUUUGUGUGUAUUACAUUGAUAAAAUUGUGAAAGCAUGAUCAUCUAUUGAUUUAUGUUGUUAUUGAGUGAAAGUGGUGCUAUUAUUUUAUCUUGAAAACAGUGAACAACAUAGAUUCAAUGUUUUAUGACUGCUGUUUUCAUUAAGUCUCAUGCAUAAAAUUUUAUAAUUUAUUAAACUAGACAUCUUUAUCUUUCUAUUUAUAUGUUUAUCGUUCAAAACUCAUUGUAUAUUAAUUUUUUUGAUUUUUCAAAAUUGGAACACUAGUGUUGGAAAAUUCCAAUUUUCAGCAGCAGUUCUCGUUACUAUAAUUUAUUUGGUAACUCAAACGAUUUCUGAAAAUUCUAGGAACGUUUUUCAUUUUACACAUAUAUGUCUAGUUUCUGUAUACUUAAAUUCCUAAUUUUUGGCUUUAUAUAAAAAUAAUUAAAAAUCAUAGAGCUAGGCUACCGUAAUAUUGGAAAUUGUUUUCUAGAAUUGCGAGGGUUGAUAUUGAAGCGAGUUUGGGUUACUUUUUCAUAGUGAAUGCUAGGGGUGGGCAAAAUACCCGACCCGAUCCGACCCGAAAAAAUUCGGGUUCGGGUCGGUUCGGGUUGUUAUUGAAACCCGAACGGGUGAAAAAUUGCAAACCCGAUCGGGUUGUGAUUGGGUCGGGUAAAACCCGAUCCGAUCCGAAUACCCGAUCGGGUCGCACAAAAAAAAAAAAUCACUAAACCUAUAAACACAUCACACAUGCACACACCAGACACCAGACACCACACACACGGCCAUGCAAAGUUACAACUCAAAAAGUCACAAAAACAAGUGGCUAAAAAAAUAUUGACAAAUAAAAAACAAAAUAUAAUUAUAACCCACGCACACAGGCCACAGCCACACACAAACAUUGAAACAUAUCUUCGCUGCCUUCACAGCCCUCAUCCCCACAGCCCUCAUCCUUACACUCACAACUUCACACACACACACAAAUAUCGCAAAAGCCAAAAGCAAAGCGGCAGCUAGCAGCCAACGCAGAGAAGAGAACGGAGGAAGCGCAGCCAGUGCAUGCAGCCACCUAACCCGUGACUGGAUCUACUGCUCCGCGACAUCCGUAGCUACCAGAUCUGCUGUUGCCGGAUAUCUACAGGAUCUGUUGCUGCUGGAUCCGCUGCGCUGCUAUCGGAUCUGCUGUUGCAGCCUCCACCAUCACCGAGUUCCACCGCGAAGGUGCGAACCGGCAACUCGAAUUCUUUUCUUUUUUUGAUGUUUUGAUGGGAUAUAAUAAUAUAUUAUAUAUUAUCUGUUAAUUGCUAAGUAUAUGUAUUGUUAAAUGUUAAUAAUAAAAUGAGGGAAAUUCUUGUAUGGAAAGUUUUGGAGUUUAAUUUAUUAAGUCUGUGGAAGCUUAAAUAAUAAGUAUGAAUUGAUUUCUUUUUUUUUGUUUUGUUUUUAAUGAAUAGAUUAAGCAAAUUAAGCAUUAAAAUUAAAUAUUUUGCAUUUGAUCUGUGCAAUGUUUCACCCGAUCCGAAUUAACCCGAAUUUAACCCAAUUAUUUGACCCGAUCCGAUCCGAUCCGAAUAUAUUCGGAUCGGGUUACAACUUCGGGUUGAGUUCGGAUGAAUUCUUUUCUAACCCGAUCAACCCGAAAUCCAAUCGGGUUGAUCCGAACCCGACCCGAACCCAAAAAUGCCCACCCCUAGUGAAUGCCUUAUAAAUUUAACUUUUAUAUUCAAUGCAAACGUGUUCACAAUAGUUUUUUGUAAUAUUUUUGAUUUUUCUGACAUAAUUAUAGCUUGUUAGAAAUUAACUCUUACAAGACGAUCGAGUGUAGUUUAGUGAAUUGAUGUGCUUUAGUAAGAGUAAAUGGUUUAAGGAUAUUUUGGCUUUCUUAUCAACGUCAAAAUUGAAAAAAAAAAUUGAUAAGAAUCUUAUCUUGAUAAUUAUAGGCCAAGAACGAGCUCGUGUGAUUGGGGUUAUUGUUGAUUGCUUCGUAUUGAGUUAAGUGAACUCAUGCAUAAUGUUUAUUAUAGUUAUAUAUGUAAAUAUCUAGAAAAGAAUAAUGUUAUUCAUAUAAAUUGACAUUUUAUGGUUUUGAAGUUAUUUUACUCUUAUAUUUUAUGAUAAUAAAUAAUGUUUUGAUUAAAACUUUAUUUAAAAUAUUUUCUUAAACUAUUUAAAAAAUAACUUUAAAAUAAUUGUCUUUCCAUAAAUUGGUCUUCCUUAAAAAUAUUUGUUAAGCUUGCCAAUUCAAUGUCUUAUAAGAGCAUUUUAUCAUAAUAUUACUGAAUGAUUGAUAUUGAAAGACUGAAAUUGUAUUUAAGAUUUUGGCUCAUUAACCGUAGUUAUUGUUGCUGAUAUAACCGAACAUUUAACUAUAUUGUGCGCACCUAUUGAUGAUUAUAGUUGGGUAACGUACCCUAAUUGAACUACUAACCGAGUCAUCGGGGUUAUAGGUGACUUACUAAACUAAUACCGGGUCAUUAGGGUUAUAGGUGACUUAUUGAACCACUGGCCGGGUCACCGGAAGUACAGGCGACACUAUAUGACAUGAGCAAUUGAAUAAAUGAAUGGUUAUAUUGAUAAAUGAUUUCCGAAAUGAUUAUUUAUUAAAAAUGGUUAUUACAUUAUGAUUUAACUAAUUAUAAGUUUUAAUGUACACUUAUGGUACUUUAUAAUGAUUGUUUUGUAUUUUAUCGUUAUUAGUAACCUUAUGCAUGAGUUAGUGUUGAGUGUUAGAAAAUGCAUAUUUAUAAAGGAGAAAAUUGUCAUUUUACAUUUCAUGUCUUACUAACAGCCCUUACUUUUAUGUAUUUAAGCUUCUUGUAAUUUAAUUAUGUGUGUUUUAUUUUAAUUAAGUAUUUUAUGUAUUUUAGGGGCAUCAUGGUCAUUUCACAAUAAACGAGAGAUCAGACGGCAAAAUGGACAUCACUUUUGAACUCAGGACGGUUGAAAAUCUUAGGAGGAGCAUAAAAGGAAAAAUGACACUGUUCACAUGUACGGUACUGUCUAUGUUACUAUUCACGACACUGUUCACAUAGACGGAUCGAUGAUGUGGCAUUGACCGAUGAUGUGGCAUUGACUGAUGAGGUGUCACGAUCCUGUUGGACUAAAAUUCUUAUGCACUGUUGAUUGAUGACGUGGCAGCAUAUCAGUGGACCAAAAAUCUCGCGUACGGUACAUGCAUUAUACAGGAUUAUUUUCAACCAAACUGAGUCACUGUUCAACUCGGGGCAAACCGUGUUACUGUUCAUCCAAGUGGUCAAACCGCAUACUGUUGACUGAUAACGUGGCGCAAUCCUGAGCGUCCAAACUGUUUUUAAUCCGAUGGCCACGAUUUACUUAAUGUAUCUACAAAAAGGGGGCCUCCCCUCUAAUUUGAUACCUCUGAAUCCAUUUUUUGGAUCCAUUUUCUAUAAUUCCUUCUCCAUCUUGUAUUUUCUACGUAUUUUAAUAAAUUUCUAUUUUGCCCCUAGUUCAAUUAUGAGUAACUAAUUUUCUUUCAAGCUUGGGUUGAAGGUGAAGUCUCAACAUGUGUCAUGGGCUUUAUUUGGUAAAUUUAUUUUCUCUUCCCCUCUAGUUUUUGUGGAUGUUUUGACUUCUCGUCGAUAAAUAAUAAUAAUAUUGUUUAGUACCGCCUUGGUUUCACCGGCUCCCUAAUACAAAGUUAUUAUUAUUUGGCACGAUAAGCCCUUAGCACCAUAUUGAUUAGAGCGUAGUUCAUGAGGUGUGAAUUCCCCCCUCAUGAUUUAAUUGGUAUUAAUAAGGAAUAUUUAGCCCAUGGUGCAUUUGAUAUGAAUUCAAAUACCCAAGUACGUCAAUUUAAUAGAUUUUCACUUUAAUUUCUUCUCGCCAUUUCAAUUCCAAUUUUUAGGAUAAUUUAAAUCACUUCCACCACAAAUCCAACCACCUCAUACAAAAUUAAUUCUAUAUAUAAUUAAAAUCCACCUCCUCGUGAGAUCGACACUCGUCACUAUUAGUCUAUUAUACAAUAGAUUCGUAAGCUUGCGAGUUCAAUAAAAUUUGCACAACAAGUUUUUGGCGCCGUUACUGGGGAGGUAAGUUAUUUUAAUUUGUAGAAUUAAUUUUUGUCAAUAAUUUCUUUUAUUUGUUUUCUUUUUUUUUCUUAUUAAAAAAAAGGGAAAAAAGAGAGUGAAUUUGCAUUGAGAGAUUAGUAUUUCUUUUCUUUUUCUCUUCUUUAAAAUUCUGUAAUUUAAUUUUCAAGUUAUUUUUUUCUUCUUUGUAAUUUUUGUUUAUCUUACUAAUUUUUUUAAGUUAAUUUAUUUCACGUAUUUUUUUGUGUGUAUUUUUAUAGUAAGGUUGUAAUAGCGCGAUAAGGUUAGUAUCGUAAUUUCUCCCUCUUCUUUAUUUUUAUUUGUUUUGUUCCCAUCUUUAUUUUUAUUUUAUUUGUUUUACAUGCAUAGUCGAAGAUCAUUAUUACCUAAUCUUAAACCUAUAGACCUGGAACUAGAAAAAAUACUUCGCACACACAAGCACGUUAAAAAUAAAUUUGGAAUGGAUUUACAAGUACCACAAGAGAGGCCAUUUAAGGACUAUUUUAGUCCUUUAGCUAAUUUGAGCACAUCAUGUAUAAGAUACUCAAAUGUAGCUGCUACGAGUUUUGAACUAAGACCUAGUCUGCUAAAUUGUCUCCCAACAUUCUAUGGCCUAGAAAAUGAGGACCUUUAUAAUUAUUUGAAUGAUUUUCAUACUAUUUGUCAAACAUUUAAAUAUGAGAAUUUUUCAUAUGAUGAUGUAAAACUUAGACUAAUCCCAUUUUCUUUAAAGGAUAGAGCUCGUUCAUGGUUUAAUAUAUUGCCUGCUAAUACCAUUUCAUCAUGGGAACAAAUGGUAACGAAAUUUUUAAAUAAAUAUUUCCCAGUGCAUAAAACUAAUGCUAUUCGCAGGGAAAUUUCAAAGUUUACCCAUAGAGAAGAUGAGCAGUUUUUCGAAACAUGGCAGUAAUUUAAUGGGCUACUCUUGAAGUGUCCACAUCAUGGGUACGAGAAAUGACACCAAUGCCAAUACUUUUUGGAGGGAUUGUUGCUGAAUGUGUAAGAAUGACUAAUGGCAACAAGUGGAGGAGAGCUAAUGUCAAAAAGUGCAUCAGAGAUUUGGGAAUUCUUCUAGCGACAAGUGGAUAAUUCCCAACAACGGAGUCGAUCACUCAGGAAUACUAGAAGAAUUAAGGGAGUGAAUGAGGUUCACAUUGACGAGUCAACUUCAGGAAUCAAAGAAGUCAAGGAGAUGGUUGAAGGUAUCGCUCGACAAAUAGCAUCAUUAUCGACUGCUAAAUCAACAGAGCCACAUGACCAUGACUCAUACUCAGAUCAAGCCAAUACCAUAGGUGUAAUGAGAAGCCAUCAAAUUACAACCCAUACUCCAACACAUAUAACCCAGGAUGGAGAGACCACCCCAAUUUUUUAUGGUCUCAAGGAUUCCAACAGAAUGAAGCAGCAGCUCCAGCUCCACCAAUGCAACGAAUUCCUCAAGUUCCUCAAGCCUCUCAGCCACCAUUUAGACCAUACAAUCAGAACCAGAACUACUCUCAACCCAGACCAUGGGAGGAUGCAUUCCAGAAUUUCAAGAAUGUUACUCACUCUACGAUUGAGCAACAGAACCGCACCAUUGAUAGACUACGAAAUGAGUUGAGAGCAGGUUUCAACUCACAAGCCCAAUCAGUUUCAAGCCUUGAGAAGAUGGUGGGACAACUUGUUUCUUCAGUUCAGACCUUGGCAAUGACCGUUGAGAAAGGUAAAUUUCCAAGUCAACCAGUGCCUAAUCCUAAAGGAGUACAUGAUGCAAGUACUAGUUCACCACAGCAGCAUGGAGAGGUAAAAGUUGUCAUGACUUUGUGAAAAGAAAAAGAAGUCGACAACAAAGUGGAGAUGUAGGUGAUAAAAGAAAAUCAAAUUGUACCUGUAAAUGUUGAGGACUCAUCACCGGAGGAGAAAGAAGAAACGAACCUACGAGAAUAUGUUCCUAAAUCUCCAUUUCCUCAGAGGUUAGUAAAAGGAAAAAAGGAAAAAUUCACAGGUGAGAUUCUUGAAAUCUUCAAACAGGUAAGUGUUAACAUCCCUUUGUUUGACGCUAUAAAACAAGUUCCAUCUUAUGCUAAGUUUCUUAAAGACCUUUGUAUUAAAAAGAGAAACAUUCAUGUUCAAAAGAAGGCAUUUUUGACAGAAAACGUUAGUUCUAUACUCCAACAUAAAAUUCCUCUAAAAUGCAAAGACCCAGGCUCCCCCACUAUCUCAUGUAGUAUAGGGAACCACACAAUUGAAAAUGCUUUGUUGGAUUUAGGAGCUAAUGUAAAUCUGUUGCCUUAUUCAGUUUUCGUGAAACUUGGAUUGAGAGAAUUACACCCAACUCCAGUGGGGUUGCAGCUUGCAGAUCGGUCCACGAAAAUACCUCGUGGCAUUAUGGAAGACGUGCUUAUCCAGGUAGACAAGUUUUAUUUUUCUGUUGAUUUCAUUGUAAUUGACACUCAACCAAUUCAGGAUUCAAGGAAGCACAUCCUCAUUAUUCUAGGCCGACCUUUCUUGGCAACUGCAAAUGCUCACAUUCAAUGCAGGACUAGAAAUAUGCAGUUGUCCUUCGGCAACAUGACUAUGGAGCUGAACAUCUUCAACAUUGCCAAAUAACCUCACAAUGCAGAUGAUAAAAUUGUUGAUGCGGAUUUAAUAGAAACAUUAGUUGAUAAUACCUUUGUUUCAAACCUUAGUGAUGACCCUUUACAAACAUGUUUAACUCAUUUUGGUUUGGAUUUUGAUAUUGACAGAUCAGUCGAUGAGGUCAACGAAUCACCGUUUAAUUCCAGAAACGAGAUUAUGUGUCUGUCCGUUUACCCUUUCACCGUUUGCCACAAUCGGUGAACCGUUUUUCAACAGAGAGUCCUCUAACAGUUACUCCUUAGCCGUUAAGCGCUUAGGCUUUCACCGUUUCCCUUUCUUCAGCCUCUGGAAGUUACCCUUUAACCGUUUUCGCGAAGUCUAAAAUCUGUUCAAAGGUUUUCUUCUCCUUCUCCAGUUACCCUUUCACCGUUUCCUCCAUUGUUGCGCAGCCGAAGGUUUCUUUGUCCUCAAAUCCUCAUUUUUUCUUGCUUUCCUUGCCAAAUCAAACCUUCAAAAUUAUUUCUUAUCACCUUUAGAACAAUUCUACCGAUUCAAAACUUCAAAUCGAGCCCAAAAUUAAAAAAUCCCAAAUCUAAACCCUAACUGUCGCGGGUCGGGUUUCUUCAUUCUUAAUCCGAUUUCCACAUUUCUUCAACCAAAUUGAACAUCCUACUCACAUCCUCUACUCUUCUUUAAACCUUUUAUCGAUUUACUUUCGUCCCAUUACGUGUUUCCAUGGCUGAACCCUCUCGGAGAAAUCCCAGGCGUAAAUCUGUGCCCCCAAUGAAUCCCAUACCACCUCGGGAGGUCUCUGAGUUUUCAAGGAUUCACUUCCCCACACCUGCCUUGGCUAAGCGGUUCGAAGAUCGCUUUGAUGGUCGAAAGGUACUUGAUCCUUUUUUUGUUGAUAUUGAUAAUUUCCGCAACUUAGUUGUAUGUGGUAGAAGCAUUAGGGAUAUGCUUCAGCCUUGGGAGGCUGCCAUUGAUUUUGAUGACCGAGUUUAUCCAAACUUAGUGCGAGUCUUUUAUUCGAACAUGGAAAUCUCCGACACUCGCCUAAAUAGGAUAGUUACUCAUGUCGGCCGUGUGCCAAUAGAGUUUGAUGAUGCGGACCUAGCUGACCUUCUUGGUAUCUCUUGUGAGGGGCUUGAUAUUUACACCUCUAGGAAAGCCCUCUCCUUUGAUAGUUUUUCUCAUACUCAUGGCGUCCGUAAUAUAUGUCGUCGUCAAGACUUAUCGGAUGAGAUUUGUUUGCUUCCGUUUCGGUCUCAACUUUUACCUCUCCAAGUUCGUAUUCUUCACACUAUUUUACAGCACAUAGUGACUCCUAGGAAGGGUCACUCGGAUGAGGUUACGAGGUUGGACGUUCCCUAUUAGAUAGCCUUCUUACAGACCGUCCCAUUAACCUCGGGUAUAUUAUUGUGCGACAUAUGUUGAGUACUCCAGCGAUCAACCAUCGCUUGCUUCCUUAUGGCAGUAUCAUCACUAAAAUACUGCGACGCUUUGAGGUGCCACUUCUUGAUAUUGGACAUAUGGAGACUCGACGGAUUGGUUCCGAGGCCAUGACCAGUAUCGGAUUCUCUAGAAAGAAUGGAGUGUGGAUAAAGACAAGCAACUCCAAAAACCGGGAUACCUUGAUUGCUCCAGAGGACGAUCGGAUGCUCAAUGAUGUCUAUUCUCCCGAUCAGCUUCUUGACUUUAGAUUAGGAGCUCAUCCUCAUCCUCCGCGUCGCCAUUUUUUCCCUCGGCCUCCAGCUGACUCAGACUUUGAGGAGCGUGCGAUGGAUGCUGAUAUUCCCUCCUCUUCCGAGCCGCCUCCUGCUCCUGAGCCUUAUGCUGUUCCCGAGCAGCCAUCUGCCUCUAUGCCGCCUCCAGCUCCAGUUCAGCCCCUUGCUUCAGAUGCAGUGCAGCAGCUGAUUACUGAUGUUCAGCGGAUUUCGGAGCGACAGCAGCUGAUUCUUGAUCGGUUGGACAUCAUUUCCCGUGAUCACCAGCAGCUCCGCUCUGACUUUCAGAUUUUCCAGCAGCAGAGCAUUGACCAGUAGCUCAAGCUUAUCGCCGGACAGCGCACUCUUCUCAGCUAUUUCGGCUAUGAUCCGGGGAGCACAUCUUCUCCGCCUCCAUAGUUUCUGAGUUCUGUUUUCGCACAUACAUUUUUCCAUUUUGGUUGUUAGCUUUUUCAUACUUCGUAUAUGGAUUUUGAUGCAUAUGUGUGUGAUGUUCUUGAUGAUUAGAUGAUUGAUGCUUUGUGAUUGAAUAAUUGUUGGUAUGUUUGUGGAUAUUGAAGUGUUCUUUUGUUUUGAUCAUGGAGUUGUUGGCUUGUUGAAAGAAGAAGUUGGUGUCAAUCUAUUUUUUGAAGUGUUCUAUCUCAUUUUGUAUAAGUGGUUUUGAUCAUUUUUAAGGGGAAACUCUGCCAAAAUUUUCGCUCGCCAAAGCCGGGCAACUUCUUUAAUGGAUUUGUGUAUUUCUUAUUUCUUCUUUUCUUUUUGAUGAUGAAGGGGGAGAUAAUUAUGGUUUUUAAGAUGGUUUUUAAAUGGGGAGAUAUUAUUUUAAGAUGGAUUUAAAAUGGGGAGAUUUAAAGAAAAAAUCCUUUUAUUCAUAUUUCUCAAUUUGUCCAUACAUGUAGGGGGAGCACAUAUUAAGGGGGAGCUAAACAUUGAAUGAAAUUUGUCAUCAUAAAAAAUGGGGAGAUUGUUAACAUAAAUAUGUUAAUAAUAUUGAUUUUGAUGAUAACAAAUUUUAUAUGGUUUUUGACAAAAAUAUUGGAGAUAUUUCUUAAUAAACGAAAGCCCUUUUAUUCAUUGCCUUAUUUUUUCAUAAAAGAUGGACUUUCAAAUUAGAAAGAGAUUCUCUACAAAAAAAAAAACUCGUUUAAAAUUGCAAUUCUGGUUAUAAACGGUUAACCAUUUUAAACGAUUAAAGGCAGAGAGCAACAUAUUUCCUAAACCUUUAACCGUUUAUGAAAAACGGAAAACACAAAAGAUGGGAAGGUUACUGGAACUUAACGGUGAACCGUUUAUUUUAAACGGUUAACCGAUUAACACCAGAGAGCGACAUAAUGCCUAAAGCUCUAACCGUUUAUGAAAAAUGGAAAUCACCAAGAAUGGAAAGGCUACUGGAACUUAACGGUGAACCGUUUAUUUUAAACGGGUAACCGAUAAUGUCCAGAAUUGAAGGUUGUCCUCCUCUGGCACUGAUUAACGAAAAAUGAUAAGGCUAAAUUAUUUUGCAGGUUACUGGAGACAAACGGCGAACUGUUUAUUUCAAACGGUUAACCGAUAAUAUCCAGAAACGUUACUUCACGCAAGUUCUUAACCGUUUAGCGUAAACGGAUAACAAAUGCUCAUCUUGCAGGUCUCUGGUAGUUAACGGCUAAAGGUUAAUUACAAACGGCAAACCGUUUAUUUGAAAUCUAGCCCAACGGUAACUUUGACCAACCGAAACGGUUAACCGUUUAGGGUUAACGGCGAACCAUUUUCUGUCCGACAGUUUGUAACGGCUAGAUUUUCAGCUCCAGAUAUAAAUAAGCUCAUUCAAAUUCAAAGAAGGUUGAUCACAACACGACCAUUUUGAGCUAAUAUUCGAGAAUGCAAUCUUCAUAGAGCUUAGAACACAUUAUUGCUUCAUCUAUUCACAUAUUAAGCAUCAUUGUGUAAUCUUAUAUAUUGUGAGAGGUAAAACAGUUUGUAAUCUUUUACUUUGAGUGAUUGUAAGUGUUGGGAUACACUUGGGUUAAGAGAUUGGGGAUAAUCUCUUGUUGUAAAGGUCCAUUGACACCUUGGAAGUCAAGUGUAAGCAUUUGAAGCCUUGGAGGCUUGCUUAGUGGAAUCCUCAAGCCCGGAAAGCUUGGAGGCGUGGACGUAGGCGAGGUUGGCCGAACCACGUAAAAAUCUCGGUGUUUGAAUCCCUCUUCCCUUAUCUUUUUAUAUUGUGAUCAUCUUAAUUGUUAUUGCUUUGAAUUUGAUUUAUAAUUGCAUUAAGAUUUUCUUUAAUAAAUUGAAUAAUUUUUUAGAAUCCCAAUUCACCCCCCCUCUUGGGUUGCAUACUUGUAUUUCAUAUUUUCCACAUAUACCGGUAUAGUCUCUGACUUUUCUUUUACACUGCUAUCAUCUUCAUCUCUCGUUUGCAGUUGAUCUUCUAUAAAGAUAACAUCUCUGCUGAUGAUGAUCUUGUGGGCAGUGGGGUCCCACAGACGAUACCCUUUUACUCCAUCAGCAUAUCCCAAGAAGAUACAUCUUCUAGAUUUUGGAUCCAGUUUUGUUCUUUCUUGGGCAUUGUACAUCACGUACACAGGACAUCCAAAUGCAUGUAGGUAGGAAUAAUCAGCUGGCUUUCCAGUCCACAUCUCCAUCGCUGUCUUCAGCCCAAUAGCUGUAGAUGGCGACCGAUUUACUAUAUAACAAACAGUUUUGGCUGCUUCUGCCCAAAAUGAAUUGGGUAGACCAGCAGUCCUCAACAUAGCUCUUAUUCUUUCUGUAAGAGUUCUGUUCAUCCGCUCCGCCACUCCGUUUUGUUGAGGAGUGUAUGCUACAGUGAACUGUCUCUGAAUACAUUCUUGCUUACAGAAAGCAAGAAACUCGCCGUCUGUAUACUCUCCACCAUUAUCCGUCCUCAAUUACUUGAUCUUUUUACCAGAUUCAAGUUCCACCCGCGCUUUGUAUUCUUUAAACACUGGAAAUACAUUUGACUUUUUUUUAAUUGGAUACACCCAACAUCUUCUGGAAUAAUCAUCAAUGAAAGUCACCAUGUACUUUGCACCUCCCAUGGAUAUAUCCGGUGAUUCCCAAACAUCAGAAUGAAUCAAGUUUAGAAUGCAUUUACUUCUAGCAAUAGAUCUACUAAAUUUUAAUUUAUGCUGCUUACUUGUAACACAAUGCUCGCAAAAUGGUAAACUUACCGAUUUGAGCCCCGGAAGCAAUUUUCGCUCAGAGAGAAUCUUCAAGCCUUGUUCUGACAUGUGGCCAAGUUUGAGAUGCCACAUCAUCGUUGACUCUUCUCCAUUUGAUGCGACACACGCAUCAGCCUCCUGUAGUGUUUCUCCUUUAAGCAUGAAUAGAUUAGCACUGAUCUUUUCUGCAUUCAUCAAUACAAGCGCGCCUUUAACGAUCUUCAUAAUUCCAUUCUCCACAUGAGUUUUGUACCCAUGACUAUCCAUUUGUCCCAAAGACAAAAGAUUUUUCUUCAGGCCGUUGACAUGGCGUACCUCCCCAAUUGUGCGAAUUGUACCAUCAAACAUUUUUAUUUUGAUAGUACCAAUACCAGCGAUCUCCAAGGCAUGAUCAUUACCUAUAUAUACAGAUCCUCCUGAGAUAGGUUCAUAUGUGUGGAACCAUUCUCUCCGAGAGGUCAUGUGCCAGGUAGCUCCUGAGUCUAUAAGCCAGACAUCAGAUAGUCGUUUUCUGCCUUUUGAAACAAUUGUUGCCUCGCUGUAAAGAAUUUCGCCAUCAUCCGAGGUACUUGCUAUACACCCUUGAGCAUUUGAUGACUCAGGUUUUUUGCCCUCUUUUCUCUUCUGGUUACUCCAACACUCUUUCUUGACGUGCCCUUUCUUGCCACAGUUGUAGCAUUUAACAUUCUUCUUACUUCUGGAUUUUGAUCUACCAUGAUUUUGACUCCCACUAGGGCCACGUUCCGUUGAUCUCCCUCUCGUCACCGAUAGCGCCUCCGUUUGCUGUGAACUUACUUGUCUGUUUUCCUUAUUUUUUCGCCUGCUCUCCUCAUUUAAUACGGAGGCUGCAACAUCGUCAAAAACUAGACUGUCCACUGGAUUAUUGUUCGUCAGGUUGAUGAUGAGUUGAUCAUACGAAUCUGGUAGACUUUGAAGUAGAAGCUCUGCACGUUCAUUUUCCUCUAUAUUAUGACCCAACGUUGUGAGUUGUGAAAAUAGAGUCUUCAAGGUGUUGAUGUGGUCGGUCACCAUUGUAGAUUCCGCCAUUCGAAGAGUAUAAAGUUUCCUCUUCAAGAAAAUUUUGUUGUGUAGUGACUUGGCCUCGUACAAUUUUGUGAGAGUAUCCCAAAUUUCCUUCGUUGUGUUUUUCUCUGCCACACUGGAUAAUACUCCGUCUGCAAGUGCCAAGUGUAGAUCAGAAAUGGCGUUGCCGUCUACCUCGUUCCACUUGUCAUCAGUUAUCUCCAUGGGCCUUUCUCCAAUUGCUGCCAAGCAAUUAUUUUUCCUCAAUACAGCUUUCAUCUUCAUUUUCAACAAUGAAAAAUUAUUUCCGUUAAACUUCUCAAUUUCAUACUUUGCCACCAUUUUGUUGAUAAAUACCGCACACAAGCUAGUGUACCACCUUGAAUAGUUGUGAGUAUGUGUGAGAAUGCACACCAGGAAAGUUCCCAGGAAAGACUGGAGGGGUCACAAUGGUCCCACUUAAAACCCAGACUCAUUAAGCUCUUAUCGCCUUUGUGAUAGAACUUUCCUAGACAUGUACAAAACCACACAGUUGCUAUUACUCACACCACUAUUCUCUGCUUUGCAUCACAAAAUUCUUGGAUCGCUUCCACCGUUUCUUGUGAAUAGUACCGUAUACGUGAACAUUACCGUUUACGUGAAUAGUACCCCUUACGUGAACAGUACCCGACUCCAAAAAUACAACCAAUAGCUCUGAUACCACUGUUAGGAAAUUGGUAGGUGAAGCAGACACGCAGCUAGAAUAAAAUUGAAAGAAAAAUAAAGAACAAGUACAAAAAAUGGACACCAGAAAUUACGUGGUUCGACUUUUAGCCUACAUCCACGGGCGAAGACAGAAGGAAAUAUUUUACUAGUGAAAAGGAGUUACAAGUAUUGUAGUAUUUUAGCUCACUUCCCAAAAUCCCAAUACACCCAAACUCUCAGAACACUAAUCACUCAAGAGUUUAUUAAACUCUUAAUACUCUCAACACUAAAAGAAAGCAAUAUUUCUCUCUCGAUGGAAUUGGAUACAAGCUCUAGAUUGAGAGCUUGUAUUUAUAGGCAAAAAUUUGCCUCAAAUGUCAAACAAGUGGCCAUAAACUUCAAGCCAUACAUCUUAAAAAUUUCAAACUUUGAAUUUUUAGCUUUGAAUUUUUCUUUUCUUUUACCAAACAUUACGGCAUCUAGAAUUUCAAAGCCAAGUGCCAACCAUUCUUGUUUAUUCAAAGCUUCUAGAUGCAGCCAAUUUUGACAAUUACACAUAUAUAAGAGUAUGUCGUCAGGUCCAUACUAGUAUUUUUACACAAGCGGUCACCUCAAUUGCUUUAGGAGCAAGAUGAGAUGAGACAAGUAGAAUAAUAAAACAAUAUUUUUGUGUGAGAGCCAAAUAAAAAGCGUUAUUCUACAAGUUUUUUUGCCUUGACUAGAAUCAAGAGGUCUCACACGAUUUUCAUUAUAGACUGACUAUGAUAUACCCCACCAUCAUGGAGACUUCAUUGAAGCCAGAUGUGAGAUCUUUACUUUUUACGCUAGAAGAGAGCGUUCAUUCUAAAAGAGUGACUAGACUAAGAUCUAUAGUCCUGGAAUGGAAAAUUUAUCGUAACGAGUGUAUCAUACCAUGCGUGCUUGGUAAUCAAAAUGGAAAAUGAAAGAAUCUUCAAUCUUUCUAAUUGUGUAAGUUCCAUAUAACUUUUUAUAAGUCAAUCCUGGUAUCAUCUUCUUCUCUUCUUCGUGAAGAUUAAAAUUAAGAACAUUGAACAAUCCAUAAAAAGGGCAUUUAUACUGUGAUUAGAUAAGGAUUUCCGCUUGCGAUUUCUUCUGACCAUUAACAUGAUCCAGUACUCGAUUACUCCGCUGCUGAAUUCAAUAAGAAAAAUAUUUCUAGAAUUUUCAUUUUUCCUUCAGACCAUGUAAGAAGCAUACGAACAGGAUGAUCCGGAGUCAAAAGGUGAACGAGGUGACGGCUCGUCCGUUAGUACUAUUAAUGUAUAAGGUAAUAUGGGAAUUACUAAUAAUUAAUCGACUAGCUGAUUUGUUAGUUAUGAUUAUCAAUGACGGUCUAUUUCCUGCCCAUAUUUUACCAUGCUGUUGAAUGGUCCCCUUAAAAUAAUCCAGAUCAGUCAUUUGCAUAAAAAUAUAUCAUGAGCGGUUAGGUGGAGGAUGCUGAUUUGUUAGAAAAUAAUUGUUUUCAACUCUUGCGAUUGUCUGCACCCUGCACUCUUGUUCCAAAACCAAUACAAAACUGUAGCAAUCUUAAGAGGAUUUGUGGAACAAAAGAUGGCCAAGAUUGGAGGUUCUCUGCUUGUUCCUUGUGUUCAAGAGUUGGUCAAGAAUCCUAUGUUAGUUGUCCCUCCUAGAUACAUUUGUCCGGACGAAGAUUCACCACUCAAUUCUGAUGAUACUUUGAUUUCACAGAUACCAGUUAUUGACAUGCAGAGCUUGCUUUCUGAAGAAUCAAUGGAUUCUGAGUUAGCCAAGCUCGACUUCGCUUGCAAAGAAUGGGGUUUUUUCCAGGUAAAAUGCUUUAGCAGAGUUAGAAAGAUUUUUCAUGCUUGUCUGUGAUUUAAGAAUCAUGAAAUCUGCAAAACUCUCAGUCACAAAAUAUCUAUUUUUGAAACCCAGUUUCCAUUGAUUUAGCAUGUCAUGAUUUCAAAUUUUCCCAUCUAGUCCUUUUGCUGCUUUCAGUGCUUCUACGACUGCAGCUUGUGAAAUGUCAAGGAAGUUGUCUCUUGUUUUAUUGUACAAUUUAUGAGGCGAUAUGAGAAGAAAACACUCACCAUUUAUUUCUGAAACCCAGAUUCCAUUGAUAUAUUUGUUUUUGACUUGCUUUAUUACUUUACCUUUCCAUAUAGCCAUAGAUUUGUUAGUAUAAUUUGUAUUAAAAGAUGCCCAUGACAAAGUUCACCUAUUUUGUCUCAAUAGCUUUUGGUAGCUUAUGAGAAAUAUGCUUCUGUCAAUAUGUGAUUAAAGAUAUAGUAAAUUGUAUAAGACUCCCGCAGAUUAUUAGCUGUUCUAGAAUAUUCAAAUUUCUCCAAAACUAUGAGUAAAAAACACUUGUAAAAAUCAAUCAUUGAUUAGAUUUAUAAACAAAAUAAAAUUGGUGUUUAAUGCAACAGCAAUGUUCUCAGUUGAAAUGUAACAAAUGCUUUUAGCCAUCUUUGAUAGCAAAUCUUGUCUCUAAAUUAGUCAAAUAAGUUGCAAUCUGUCUUCAUAAAACGCCUGGACGAUUGUGAACCUAGUGGCACGAUUAUCAAAUCUUAGCUGCUGUUCAUUCCUGCGUAAUUUCAGCUGGUAAACCAUGGAGUAAGCUCAGCAUUUCUAGAGAAAGUGAAGAAAGAGGUUAAGGGCUUCUUCAAUCUCAGCAUGGAAGAAAAGAAAAAAUAUUGGCAGCAUCCAGGAGAUGUAGAAGGAUUUGGACAAGCCUUUGUUGUAUCUGAGGAACAAAAGCUUGAUUGGGCUGACAUUUUCUCCAUGAUCACUCUUCCAGUUCAUCUGAGGAAGCCACACUUAUUUCCUAAGCUCCCUCCUUCCCUCAGGUUCUCUCUUUUUGUGGUUGAUAUGGAUUUGCAAACAAAAAGGGAAAAUUAAACCUUCUAUGAUUCUAUCUAAUGUUUUACCUUCUUUUUUCUUGUAGAGACACCUUGGAAGUUUACUCGAUGGAGUUAAAAUCUCUGGCCAUGAACCUGAUAUCGAAAAUGGGAAAAGUUUUAAAUAUCAAAGAUGAAGAAUUGAGAGAAUUCUUUGACAAUGGUUUCCAAUCAAUGAGGAUGAACUAUUACCCUCCAUGUCCUCAGCCAGAAAAGGUUAUGGGCCUCACCCCUCAUUCUGAUGGCUCUGCUCUUACCAUUCUGCUACAAAUCAAUGAAGUAGAAGGUCUCCAGAUCAAGAACGAUGGAAAAUGGAUUCCUAUCACACCGCUGCCAAAUGCUUUCAUUGUCAACAUCGGAGACACAUUGGAGGUAAUAAUUAUGAUUACUUUCCUUGGCAUUUUUAUGUCCCUUCUCAUGUGCUCUAAUAUUUUUAACAUUGCAGAUUAUGACCAAUGGGACAUACCGUAGCAUUGAACAUCGUGCAAUUGUGAACUCUAUACAAGAAAGACUUUCCAUUGCCACAUUUUACACAAAGAGAUUAGAUGGUGAAAUAUAUCCAGCAUCCAGUUUGAUAUCUGAAAAAACUCCUGCAUUGUUUCGAAGAGUGACAGUUGAAGAAUACUUUAGGAGCCGGUUUGCUCGUGAGCUUAGGGGAAAAUCUCACCUGGAUGACCUGAGAAUUCAACAUGGUCGAGGCUAGUACAAUUAUUUUGGAUAAUUGCAGAUUUGUGCCAGGAAUUUUCUGAUGAUAAUUGUGCUUAUUUUGGAUCAGUUUCUUUCAUUUUUGGAAUAGAAUUUUUGCAGGCUUGUCAUGUUUUUAUCAGAUUUCAAGAACUAUUUCACUUGCUUUCGGAGUUAAAGAUGAUUCAAAUAUGAUAUUAAAUACUUAAGCAUGCCAUUCUAACGCUUGCUUGUCCAAUUACAUCC
rnacentral:lncRNA from 1 species